AAGCUCGUAGUUGAAUUUCGGGGUUAGUAGGUUGGUCAUGCCUCUGGUAUGUACUGGUCUCACUGAUUCCUCCUUCCUUAUGAACCGUAAUGCCAUUAAUUUGGUGUUGCGGGGAAUUUGGACUGUUACUUUGAAAAAAUUUGAGUGUUUAAAGCAAGCUAACGCUUGAAUACAUUAGCAUGGAAUAAUGAAAUAGGACGUUCGAUCUUAUUUUGUUGGUUUCUAGGAUUGACGUAAUGAUUAAUAGGGAUAGUUGGG
rnacentral:rRNA from 1 species